rnacentral:rRNA from 1 species
ACUACGGGUGGCAGCAGUGGGGAAUAUUGCACAAUGGGGGGAACCCUGAUGCAGCGACGCCGCGUGAGUGAAGAAGUAUUUCGGUAUGUAAAGCUCUAUCAGCAGGGAAGAAGAUGACGGUACCUGACUAAGAAGCCCCGGCUAACUACGUGCCAGCAGCCGCGGUAAUACGUAGGGGGCAAGCGUUUGUCGGAUUUACUGGGGGUAAAGGGAGCAUAGACGGCAGGGCAAGGCGGGAGUGAAAGCUCGGGGCCCAACCCCGGGACUGCUUUGGAAACUGCCAUGCUGGAGUUCGGGAGAGGUAAGCGGAAUGCCGAGUGUAGCGGUGAAAUGCGUAGAUAUUAGGAGGAACACCAGUGGCGAAGGCAGCUUACUGGACAGUAACUGACGUUGAGGCUCGAAAGCGUGGGGAGCAAACAGGAUUAGAUACCCGGGUAGUC